AGUGAACGCUGGCGGUAGGCCUAACACAUGCAAGUCGAACGGCAGCACAGUAAGAGCUUGCUCUUACGGGUGGCGAGUGGCGGACGGGUGAGGAAUACAUCGGAAUCUACUUUUUCGUGGGGGAUAACGUAGGGAAACUUACGCUAAUACCGCAUACGACCUACGGGUGAAAGCAGGGGAUCUUCGGCCCUUGCGCGAUUGAAUGAGCCGAUGUCGGAUUAGCUAGUUGGCGGGGUGAAGGCCCACCAAGGCGACGAUCCGUAGCUGGUCUGAGAGGAUGAUCAGCCACACUGGAACUGAGACACGGUCCAGACUCCUACGGGAGGCAGCAGUGGGGAAUAUUGGACAAUGGGCGCAAGCCUGAUCCAGCCAUACCGCGUGGGUGAAGAAGGCCUUCGGGUUGUAAAGCCCUUUUGUUGGGAAAGAAAAGCAGCAGGUUAAUACCCCGCUGUUCUGACGGUACCCAAAGAAUAAGCACCGGCUAACUUCGUG
rnacentral:rRNA from 1 species